GACGAACGCGGCGGCGUGCUUAAUACAUGCAAGUAGCAACGCUGAAGGAGGAGCUUGCUUCUCUGGAUGAGUUGCGAACGGGUGAGUAACGCGUAGGUAACCUCCUGGUAGCGGGGGAUAACUAUUGGAAACGAUAGCUAAUACCGCAUAAGAGUAGAUGUUGCAUGACAUUUGCUUAAAAGGUGCAAUUGCAUCACUACCAGAUGGACCUGCGUUGUAUUAGCUAGUUGGUGGGGUAACGGCUCACCAAGGCGACGAUACAUAGCCGACCUGAGAGGGUGAUCGGCCACACUGGGACUGAGACACGGCCCAGACUCCUACGGGAGGCAGCAGUAGGGAAUCUUCGGCAAUGGACGGAAGUCUGACCGAGCAACGCCGCGUGAGUGAAGAAGGUUUUCGGAUCGUAAAGCUCUGUUGUAAGAGAAGAACGAGUGUGAGAGUGGAAAGUUCACACUGUGACGGUAUCUUACCAGAAAGGGACGGCUAACUACGUGCCAGCAGCCGCGGUAAUACGUAGGUGGCAAGCGUUAUCCGGAUUUAUUGGGCGUAAAGAGAGUGCAGGCGGUUUUCUAAGUCUGAUGUGAAAGCCUUCGGCUUAACCGGAGAAGUGCAUCGGAAACUGGAUAACUUGAGUGCAGAAGAGGGUAGUGGAACUCCAUGUGUAGCGGUGGAAUGCGUAGAUAUAUGGAAGAACACCAGUGGCGAAGGCGGCUACCUGGUCUGCAACUGACGCUGAGACUCGAAAGCAUGGGUAGCGAACAGG
rnacentral:rRNA from 1 species